GAUGAACGCUGGCGGCGUGCCUAAUACAUGCAAGUCGAGCGAACAGACGAGGAGCUUGCUCCUCUGACGUUAGCGGCGGACGGGUGAGUAACACGUGGAUAACCUACCUAUAAGACUGGGAUAACUUCGGGAAACCGGAGCUAAUACCGUAUAAUUUAUUGAACCUCAUGGUUCAAUAGUGAAAGACGGUUUUGCUAUCACUUAUAGAUGGAUCCGCGCCGCAUUAGCUAGUUGGUAAGGUAACGGCUUACCAAGGCAGCGAUGCGUAGCCGACCUGAGAGGGUGAUCGGCCACACUGGAACUGAGACACGGUCCAGACUCCUACGGGAGGCAGCAGUAGGGAAUCUUCCGCGAUGGGCGAAAGCCUGACGGAGCAACGCCGCGUGAGUGAUGAAGGUCUUCGGAUCGUAAAACUCUGUUAUUAGGGAAGAACAAAUGUGUAAGUAACUAUGCACGUCUUGACGGUACCUAAUCAGAAAGCCACGGCUAACUACGUG
rnacentral:rRNA from 1 species